rnacentral:rRNA from 1 species
GACGAACGCUGGCGGCGUGCUUAACACAUGCAAGUCGAACGGAAAGGCCCUGCUUUUGUGGGGUGCUCGAGUGGCGAACGGGUGAGUAACACGUGAGUAACCUGCCCUUGACUUUGGGAUAACUUCAGGAAACUGGGGCUAAUACCGGAUAGGAGCUCCUGCUGCAUGGUGGGGGUUGGAAAGUUUCGGCGGUUGGGGAUGGACUCGCGACUUAUCAGCUUGUUGGUGGGGUAGUGGCUUACCAAGGCUUUGACGGGUAGCCGGCCUGAGAGGGUGACCGGCCACAUUGGGACUGAGAUACGGCCCAGACUCCUACGGGAGGCAGCAGUGGGGAAUAUUGCGCAAUGGGCGGAAGCCUGAUGCAGCAACGCCGCGUGCGGGAUGACGGCCUUCGGGUUGUAAACCGCUUUCGCCUGUGACGAAGCGUGAGUGACGGUAAUGGGUAAAGAAGCACCGGCUAACUACGUG